rnacentral:rRNA from 1 species
UACAGAGGUCUCAAGCGUUGUUCGGAUUCAUUGGGCGUAAAGGGUGCGUAGGUGGUGGGGUAAGUCGGAUGUGAAAUCCCGGGGCUCAACCCUGGAACUGCAUUCGAUACUGCCUUACUUGAGUACUGGAGAGGAGAUUGGAAUUUACGGUGUAGCGGUGAAAUGCGUAGAUAUCGUAAGGAAGACCAGUGGCGAAGGCGGAUCUCUGGACAGUUACUGACACUGAGGCACGAAGGCCAGGGGAGCAAACGGG